UACGUAGGGUCCAAGCGUUUGUCCGGAUUUAUUGGGCGUAAAGAGCUCGUAGGCGGUUCCGUAAGUCGGAUGUGAAAACUCGGGGCUCAACCCCGAGACGCCAUCCGAUACUGCGGUGACUUGAGUCUGGUAGGGGAACACGGAAUUCCUGGUGUAGCGGUGAAAUGCGCAGAUAUCAGGAGGAACACCGAUGGCGAAGGCAGCACUCUGGGACGUGACUGACGCUGAGACGCGAAAGCGUGGGGAGCAAACAGG
rnacentral:rRNA from 1 species